AUCCUUCUGGUUCUUACAAUGUGAUGACUGGUCUGUUCAUGCGUGUGUGUGAAAUGUGCAGCCGUUGUUACGACUAAGCACAUCAACCUUCUGAUC